CUCUCCAAAUAAUGCUAGUCCUAAGGUGGUACAAUCAUUUUUUCUGUGAGCAAUUUGUUGAUUUUUAUAUUUUUGAGAGAGAGAGAGAGAGAGAGAGAGAGAGAGAGAGAGAGCGUGAGCAGGGGAGGGGCAGAGAGAGAGGGAGACCCAGAAUCCGAAG